rnacentral:snoRNA from 1 species
UUGCAUUAGUCCAAAAUAUCCCUCUAUUUUAAACAAAUAAAAACAGCCCGCAUGGGAGCCCAGUGUGCAAUAGUUGCAAACAGCAGCCUCCUUGGUGGUGUAUGCAGCCUGUUGGUUGUAUGGAUUGUGCUAAGGGACCUUGGAGACAGCC